CGCAUGCUCCUAGAGGUAACACACUCCCCGGCCCGUCUGGCGUAGAGCCAAUCGACCAGUAGUGACCGGCUUGGGCAUUUUGCACCUUCUAAAUACAGCGCCAGUUGGCGACCGCAUGGUUACGUCAUCGUUCGGAAACCCUGGCAGGCACUGUGCUAAGAGCUAAGUAUCUGUGAAGAGGUGGUUUUAAUGUCCCUGUAUUAAAGCACUUUCCUUCAGGAAUCGAAAAAUGCUGAGAAAGAAGAUUUUGAAGUACUAUCUCAAAAUAUUUUCUGCCAGAUAGUAAAAGGUACCUUUUUCUGGUCACUGACUUUGCAUUAAAUGCAUGUUUAAUAUUCAAAACCUCACUCUGGGGGUGGCUGGGUGGCUCAGUGGGACUCUUGAUUUGGGCUCAGGUCAUGAUCCCACAAUUUGGGAGAUCGAGCCCCAUGUCAGGCUCUGUGCUGACAGCAUGGAGCCUGCUUGGGAUUUUCUAUCUCCCUCUCUCUGUCCCUCCUCUGCUCACGUGUGUACACUUUCUCUCUCUCUCUGUCUCAAAAUAAUAAACUUAAAAAAAAUUAAAACCUCAUUUUCUGUUAGAUAAUGUUAUCUUCCUUUUAGAAAUGAAAAAGCUAAAGAUCAGAGAGAUUCAGUCAUUCAAUUCGUGCAACAAAUAUUUAGUAAGCACCCACCAGGUUCUUCAUUUUGGGCAAAGAGCAGUGAGGGAAACAGGAAAGGCCCUUCACUUUAUUGUCUUGCAUUCUGGCUGGGGAAAUAUAGACAACAAACCGGUAAACAGAUAAGAUACUUUCUGAGAGUGUUAAGUGCUGUGAACAAAAUAAGCCAAAGUGGCACACCCGGCAAGGAAUGGGGGAGCUGCUGUUAGGUUGGAUGGUCUCCGCAGUCCCAUAUGAAAAAGUGAGAUUCAAUCUGAUGCCUAGAAGGAAAAAGAAGAAAUGGGAAAUGGAGCUGUUAGUGCAAAGGCCCUAAGGCAGCAACAAGUUUGGCUCAUUCAAGACACUGGGAAGUUUGGGGGGGCCUGGGUGGCUCAGUGGGUUAAGCAGCUGACCUUGGCUCAGGUCACGAUCUCCCGAUUCACAGGUUCGAGCCCUGCGUCGGGCUCUGUGCUGACAGCUCGGAGCCUGGAGCCUGCUGGGAAUUCUGUGUCUCCCUCUCUCUCUGCCCCUCCCCUGCUCACGCUUAGUCUCUCUCUGUCUCUCACAAAAAUAAACAUUAAGAAAAAAUUUUUUUAAAAGACACAGGUAAGUUUGGUCAGGGGAGCAAAGAGGGAAAGCCGCUGGGUGGGUUUGAAAGGGAGGGUAGUUUGACUGGUGUUAUUUGUCAGUCAGGAUAAGCUAGGUUCGCAGUUCUGAAAUUGGUUCGCUUUGGUUUCAGCCCCCUAUUUUCUUUUUUAAAAAUUGAGGAUUCCAAAUAGCUUUUUUUAUGCAUUUAUCAGUUGUCUGUUGCUGUGUCACCCCAAAAUAUGACUUAAAACAACACAGGCACUGAUUUUCUCUGGGUUGUCUGUGGGCCUGGAACCUGGGAGCAGCUUGGUUGGGCUUUUCUGACUUGGGAUCGCUUGUGGGGUUGCAGUCGUCGAAAGCUUAGCUAAGGCUGAAGAAUCCAUCUUGCGAGAUGGCUCCAUCACAGUAGGGGGUGCUGCUGUUCGCAGGAAGCCUCCAUUCCUCUGUCUCCACAAGAGCCUCUCCACAGCAUACUUGAGUGUUCUCAGGCCAUGAUUGCUGGCUUCCCUCACAGCAGGUGAUCUAAGAAACAGCAAUGUGGAUGUUGAAAUACUUUUUAUGACCCCGUCUCAGAAGUUGCACAUCAUUAUUUCCUCUAAUGGUAACUCACCCUGUUUGCUGUGGUCACGACUACCAGGAAUUGAAUAUCCUUACAGGCCAUCUGGGGAGACUGGCCACCACAAUGUUGUAGAGGCCGUUUUUAGGCAACAGGCUUGAACGAUGGAAACCUGAGUAAGGUAGAAGAGCCCAGGGUGACCCCAGCGCUCUGGCUGAAUACAGAGAGGCCCAGCAGGCUACCCACCUCAAAAUAUCCAUAGGCCCUAACUAACCAAUGGGCUAUUUACAAGCAGGCACAGUUACCAAAAAAGGGAAAAUUCCACAGGUCUUCAUACCUCUUCACCUUCUCUCUUUAAAAACCGCCUCCAGCCACUGCCUCGUUACCAACAGCCUCUCCUCUGCUGUCUUGCCCACCGCUCCCUUGUAGUGUAUUUAAUAAAUUGUCUCCUUUGUUCUGCCUAGGGUGAAUCCUUCCACUGCCUGUGCCCCCGGCCCUCGCCCCUAUCCAAUUGAGAGAGACACCACAAAUGGGGGUAUUUUUCAAUUUAAAUUUAUAAAUCGGGAUGGUUCAGUCAGCUAAGUGUCCCACUUCAACUCAGUUCAUGAUCUCGUAGUUUGUCAGUUGCGAGCCCCGUGUCCUGUCAGCCUCUCCACUAUCAGCUCAGAGCCCGCUUUGGAUCCCUGUCUCCCUCACUCUUUGCCCUUCCCAGCCUGUGCUCUCUCACUGUCUCUCUGUCUCUGUCUCUCUCUCUCUCUCUCAAAAAUAAAUAAACAUUAAAAAUUUUAAUUUAUACAUAGAAAGAUUUUAUAUAUUUGAAUAUAUAUUUAGAAAAUAAAAUCUGUGAUAUUUACCACAUUAGAAAUUAAAGUUUAAAAAUGUUGUUGAUUGGGGCACCUGGGUGGCUCAGCGGGUUCAACUUCAGCUCAGGUCAUGAUCUCACGGUUCCCCAGUUCAAGCUCCGCGUUGGGCUCUGUGCUAACAGCUCAGGGCCUGGAUUCUGUUUCAGAUUGUGUGGAUCUGACCUUAUCUCUGACCCUCCCCCACUCACGCUCUAGUUCUCUCUCAAAAAAAAUUUAAAAAAUUAAAAUUAAAAAAAUAAAAAUACUCUUCAUUUAGGGGCAUCUGGGUGGCUCAGUCAGUUAAGUGUCCAACUCUAGAUUUCAGCUCAGGUCAUGAUCUCAUGGUUUGGGAGUUCGAGCUCUGCGUUGGGCUUAUGCUGGCAGUGUGGAGCCUGCUUGGAAUUCAUUCUCUCUCUCUCUGUCUCUCCCUCCCUCCCUCCCUGUCUCCUCCUCUCCACUCCUCACGUUCUCUCUCUUUCUCUCAGUAAGGAAAAACUUUAAAAAUAUAUUGUUCAUUUAAGAAUAAGUCCAUUAUGUGUUAACUUAAAUAAUGCACUUUUAAUGAAAAAAUAUUUUCCGAAACAAAAAUAAUUAGAAGAAUGGCAUUGUUUCUAAUAUUUUAAACAGAAGAGUGUUAGAUUCUUACUUUUGCUUCUGCAUACUCCACUAAACAUUCAUGAGAGAAUGAAAAUGAAAAAUGGAAAAUAAUGUUUCUGUGUUAUUACCAAAAUAGUUUUGACUUCAUGGAACCUUCUGAAAGGACUGUGCUACACUUUGGGAACCUUGGACUUGAUUAUGAUAUAGUAACAAAUGAUACCAAAAUCUCAGUAGCUUAAAAUAAUAAAGGUUUAUUUCUUGCUUAUGCUACAAAUCUAUUUGGGGUUGCCCCUGGUUCUGUUCCCUGUCAUCUUUACUCAAGAACUCAAGCUGACAAGUCAGCUUCUAGCUAGGACAUUGCCUGACAUUGUGAUGGGAUAAAAGAACUUGGUAAAUGAUCCUGUCUCUUAAAACUUGUGCUUGAGGGGGCACCUGGGUGGCUCAGUCGGUUAAGCGGCCGACUUCGGCUCAGGUCAUGAUCUCACGGUCCGUGAGUUCAAGCCCCGCGUCGGGCUCUGUGCUGACAGCUCAGAGCCUGGAGCCCAUUUCAGAUUCUGUGUCUCCCUCUCUCUGACCCUCCCCUGUUCGUGCUCUGUCUCUCCCUGUCUCAAAAAUAAAUAAAAACAUUAAAAAAAAUUGUAAAACUUGUGCUUGAAAGUGAUGUCAUUUUUUUUCUUUUUUCAUCAGCCAAAGCGAGUCACAUGGCCAAGCUUUAGUUCAUCAGAGCUGUUAUGUAUA